UAUACGAUGGCAAUUGAAGAUGUGAUUGUGAAGGCAUUUCAUUAUUAGUCCUUACAAGUCUAUUCCAGGCUGCCUUUGCACAUUUGUUCUAUAUUAGGGGUGUCGAACUGGUGGCCAGAUGUAUCACGUGCAGGCCACGCCCAUCCCAGCUCCGCGAAUGCGGAAAAUGUCAAAAAAUGAAGACAACAUGAUGCGCUUUUAUUACACCUCAACUGAAGUCAUGUUUUGUGAGAUAAAUAAGCUUAUUUCAACAGGCAGGUCUGCCAAUUGCCUGCUUGCUUUUUUCAUUAUGAAUUAAGAGAAGAAUCUGCUUGGAACACGACUAGAUGUUUUGCACAAGAUUCGGGAAGAAAAAAGAUGUGACAGCAGCACAAGCCAGUCUUUGGAUGAAAAUCUCACACAUCUCAAUGCCAUCAAGAAUAAUUCAAUAUGAGUGAUCAGACAGGCUUGGCAGUAUUUUCAAGCAAAAGGAGACAGAAAGAAUGGAGGCAGUUUCCUGUUUUACUUGAUCUAAUCAAAGUGUCCUUCUACAUCUACAAUUUUUCUAUUUAGCAAAGAACAGAAUGGUUCUGGCUAGCUGACACCCUGUUGCCUGAAUUAACAUACUGUGUGAGAUUGCUGGUGAUUUAAAAAACACAAAGGAAAAGAUUUUUCCCUUUUUGGUUUUCAAAGCUAAUAAAUACAUCACACUCUUGAAGAUAGUCCCAAUCCACUUUCCAUUCCUAGGAAAGUUGGCACUACAUUCAUUCACCCAUACUUUUCUGCUCAUAUUUCUUUGCGCUGAAGGUUAAAAACAUUUGUUAGCCAGAUCAAAUUCUUAUUUCUGCACAGUUGUGAUUAGUUAAACAGAACAAAACAAAAUAAAACAGAACAAUACAGAACAAAAGAAAACAUCCUUUUCCUUGGGAUAUUUUGCUAGAGAUUUUUUUAAUCUGGAAGAAGUUGUCUAUAUUUGUAUUAUCAAGGCUCCAGUACUAAAGCAAUAACAUUAAAUAAGCCUUUACUUUAAUAACAAAUAUUUUAAAGUCCUACA